UAGCUGUUCUGAGGUCUGAACUCUGAACUUUGCUGUGGUGGAGUCCAGACUAAAUUUGUUCUUUCUUUAAUUUCCUCGUCUGCUGGCACAGAGAAAGAGAUGGAGAGUCUGAUGCUCCCCGUACUUCCUCUGGACUUUCUUCCUCAUCAGGGUAGAUGGGAAUGAAGAAGUCAAGAAACAGAGUCAUCUUUACAUGCUUUCGAGGAGCAUAAGCAGAGUACUGAAUGUGCGUGAGAGAGAGGGAGGAUGGAUUGAUAAGAGAGGAACGAAACAGCCAUCUUCAGGCAGAGGUGGUUCAUAUCUGAUGGGCAACAAUCAGACCGUAGCACGAUCAUGGUGCAAAGCACAGUCAAGUUGCGUUUCGUGUUGGAAAUCUAUGUUCAACAGAACACGGUCGUGUUCUUUGACAUGGCUGGGCAGUGUUCUGUUCUGGAGACGGUUAAUUUGGAGAUGUGAAUAUCAUAGGGGUAUAUGUGUCUUAAUUCCUCGAUAUGGCUAGGGUUGUAUAAAUACAAAAGAUGUAAUCCUUACUCAUUAAUUUUCUAGUGAACAUUUGCAGUCGCUCCCAUGGACGUAAACACAUCGCCGAACCAUAUAAAUUUGUGUGCUAUUCUCUCUCGUGUAUUUUAUUUUCAACUACAUAUUUUGUGUCGGAAUUCAUUGCUUGAUCUCAACAAUUGGUAUUAGAGCUCAAGUCAUCAUGUCUGAUAUUUAAUUUGCUAAAUUUGAUCUGGCAAAGUUCAAUGGAAUUGGUAAUUUCGAAUUAUGGUAAAGAAGAGUUAAAAUAUAUGUUAGUAUAACAAGGCAUGGUAAAUCUGUUAUGUGAAAAGAAAUCAGAAUGGAUGGAGAAGAUGGAUUGGGAGGAACUACAAGCGAAGGUUGUGACAACAAUUAAGCUUUGUCUAACUGAGAAUGUGAUGUAUCAUAUUAUGAAUGAGGAAUCACAAGUGAAAGUUUGGUAAAACUUGAAAAGCUAGUAUAUGUCUAAAUCAUUGACAAACAAGCUCUAUCUUAAGCAUAAGCUAUUAGAGCUUAAGAUAUCAAAGGACACAAAUCUAAGUUAGCAUAUCAACGUGAUUUAUUAGAUCAUAAGCGAUCUGAAAUGAGUGAUGUAAAGAUCGAAGAAGAAGAUAACGUGCUAAUGUUGUUGAAUUCUCUACUGACAUCUCAUAUGUAUAAGAAUUUGGUUACAACUCUAACGUGGAUAAAAGAAACUCUCAAGUUAGAUGAAGUCACAAUUGCCUUGUUGGGUUUUUAUCAGUGAAAGAAAGCUAGUGAUAAAAAUUCUCAAGGUGAAGAGCUCAUGGUGAGAGGUAACCAGGAACGUGGUAGGAGCAACUUUUGGUUUGAGUUGGGUAACAAUAGAACUCGAUCUAAAUCAGGGAAGGAGAAGGAGAUCAUGUAUUAUAAGUGCGGAAUAAAAGGGCAUAUCAAGUGAGACUGUCCAAAGAAAAAGAAAGUGAACGCCGAGAAUAAAGAUGGUUUAUUCAAAUAUGCAAAUAUAGUGUAAGAAGAAAAUUUAGAUAUCGACGAUGGUGAUAUGAUUUCUAUCUUAUCUGGUUCAAAACAAUUAACAAACUCUUGGAUUUUGAAUUCAGCAUAUUCCUAUCACAUGACAUCUAACAAAGAUUGAUUUGAUACCUAUAGGUUAGUUAAUUUUGAUUAUGUUCUGAUGGGUAACAAUACAUCUUGUCAAGUUAUUGGAAUAGGAAAUAUCAAAAUUAAAAUAUUUGAUGGUGUGGUUAGAAUGUCAUGAGAUGGUAGGCAUGUAUCAGAUCGGAGGAAAAGUUUAAUUUAUUGGGCACUUUAAAUUGUAAUGGUUGUAGUUAUAAACUGUAAGUUGAGUGAUAAAAGUGACUAAAGGUGUUCUUAUAGUAAUGAAAGGAUAGAAACUAGUAGAAAAUAUUUAUAAACUAUUAGGCACCACAAUUGUAGGUGAAGCUGUCAUUGUAAAAUCUGAAUCAGAUAACACAAUCAUGUGACAUAUGCGACUGGGUCAUAUGGUUGGGCAUGGAAUGAUGAAACUUCAUAAAAGAAAAUUAUUGAUGGGUGUCAAGAUAUGCAAACUCGAUUUCUGCAAGUUCUGUAUUCUUGGAAAAUAAAAUAGAGUGCAAUUCAAGAUAACUACACACAAGAUAGAGAGAAUUCUUAAUUAUGUUUAUAUAAAAAUCUCGGGGCUAGCCAACAUUAUAUUAUAUGGAGGACAUAUGUAUUUUGUAAGUUUCAUUGAUGAUUACUCACCUAAAGUUUGGGUGUAUUCCAUGUGACAUAAGUUAGAGACUUUUACUAAGUUUGAGAUGCGGAAAACUUAAGUAGAGAAUUAGACCAAAGAAAAGUUAAAUGUCCUAGAUUAGAUAAUGGUAUUGAAUACAUAGAGUCGAAUUUUCAAGAAUUUUGUGAGCAAUAUGGGAUAAAAAGACAUUUACAGUUCAUAAGACACCACAACAAAAUGAUGUAGCAAAAAGAAUGAAUCGAACAAUAAUUGAGAAAGCUCGAUGUCUCAUAUUGAAUGUAGGGCUUACAAAGAACUUAUGGGCAGAGGUAGGGAAUAUGACAUAUUUCUUAAUAGAUCACCGAGGGAAGCACUAGAUGGAAAAGUAUCAGAAGAGGCGUGAAUAUGUAAUAUGAUCGAUUACUCUAAUUUGAGAGUGUUUAGAUGUCUAUCCUACAUAUUUAUUUCUAGUGAGGACAGAUUAAAGCUGGAUGCGAAGUUUAGACAAUGUACUUUUUUGAGAUAUUAGAAAGGGUGAAAUACUUAAAGUUUUAGGAUCCUAAGGCAAAUAAAAUAGUGAUUAGUAGAGUUGUGAUCUUUGAUAAAAAAAACAAGUCAUGUAUAGCAUACUUAAGGGGAUGGAAAAACUGUUAUAAAAAAAUUUCAGCAACAAUAAGAUAAGGUGUAGGUGGAGUUAAAAACUCAUGAUUUUGAUUCUCAUAGCUCAAAGAAUAUGGAGCAUCAAAUUAUAAAUAUAGACAAGACCAAACAUAUUAUCAAACUACCUAUCAGGUAUGAUUUUGAAAACUUGAUUUCUUAUACACUUAUCAUUAGUAGUGCGAAUCUUACUAUUUUUCAGAAGAAAAUAUUAGCUCAGAGAAAAAUAAAUGUAUAAAUGUUAUGGUGGAGGAGAUAGAGUCCCUGCACAAAAACCAAACAUGAGAUCAGCUGAAAUUCCCAAAGGAGAAGAAGACUAUAGGAUUAAAUGAAUAUAUAAGAGAAAAGAAGUCAUACUAGAAAAUGAGGAAGAAAAAUUCAAGACUCGUCUAGUAGCAAAGGGUUAUUUAUAGAGAAAAGGAAUUGACUAUGAUGAAAUUUUUUCUCCUGUGAUCAGGCAUACUUCCAUCAGAUCAAUGUUGGCUUUGAUAGCGCAAUGUGAUAUAUAGUUGGAGCAAAUGGAUGUUAAAAUAGUCUUUCUCUAUGGUAAUUUGGAGAAACAAAUUUGUUUGACACAACCAGAGGGGUUUAGUUAGCCUAGGCAAAAGCACAUAGUUUAUAAAUUGAAAAAAAAUAUAUUUUAUGAGCUAAAGCAAUAUCAAAGGCAAUAAUGUAAACUAUUUAACUCUUACAUGAUUCAUAAUGGCUAUAAAAGAUGUGAGUAUAAUUGUUAUAUUUAUGUGAAAAGUCUUGAUGAUGAUUCACUUACUUUCUUGUUAUUUUAUAUGGAUGAUAUGUUGAUUGCUAUGAAAAGUAUGGGUGAGGCUAAUAAAUUGAAAAAAUUAUUGAGUGAAGAAUUUGAUAUGAAAGAUUAGGUGCGACCAAGAAAAUUCUUGGGAUGGAAAUUCAUAGGGACAAAGUCUCUAAAAGAUUAUGGCUAUUUCAGCAUAGUUAUGUUGAGAAGGUGUUAGACAAGUUUAACAUAGGUAAUGAAAAAUCAGUGAGUACACUGCUGACGCAUCAUUUUAAAUUGUCCAUCGCAAAGUGCUGAAAGAUAUAUGAUAAGAUUUAAGAUAUGUUAAAGGUUCCAUAUGCUAGUACAGUGGGUUGUCUGAUGUAUGCUAUGAUUUACACAAAGCCUGAUUUGGUGUAUGCUGUUAGUGUAGUGAGUAAGUUUCUUUCAAAUCCUGAUCGACAAUAUUGAGAUGAAGUCAAGUGGAUUUUUAAAAAUUUGAGAAAUACUGAAAAUUAUGGUAUCAUAUUUAGUAGAUAGUAGAGUGAUCUUUCAGUUGCGGGAUAUGUAGAUGUAGACUAUAUAGGGCAUUUGGUUGAUAGAAGGUCUACUACAAGAUAUAUGUUCACUCUAGUGGGAGGACUCAUUUUUUAGAAGUCCAUGACACAACCAUAGUUGUGUUAUCCACUACUAAGUCAGAGUACAUGGCAGUAACAGAAGUCACCAAAGAAGUGUUAUGGCUUGUAGGGAUGGUUAAAUAACUGGUGUUCGAAAAAGUGGAGUCAAGUUAUAUUGUGAUAGCCAAUGUGUCAUCUAUUAGGCGAAAAAUCAGAUAUAUCAUGUGAGAACCAAACAUAUAAAUAUAAGAUUUCACAAGAUCAUGAAGCUGAUUUUUUUAGUGAAAUAUUACUUUUAAAAGUCCACACUUCGAAAAAUAUUAUAGACAUAUUAACAAAGUCAGUUACUAUAGAGAAGUUCAAGCAUUGCUUGAGUUUGAUCAAUUUCUUUAAUUGCUAGAUAAGAUUCACCCCAAAGUCAGUCUCUCAAGUGGAGUUCUCAGAUGCUCAUUUUUCUUCUAAGAGUGGAUAUCACUAAGGUAGAGAUUGUUGGAGUAGGUGGCUCAUAUUUGAUGGGCAACAAUCAAACUGUGGAACGAUUAUGGUUUGAAGCACGUCCAAGUUGUGCUUCGUGUUGGAAAUCUAUGUUCAACAGAACACGAUCGUGUUCUCUAACACAGCUUGGCCAUGUUCUCUGAUACAACUUGGCCGCGUUUUGUUAUAGAGAUGCUGGUUAAUUUGGGGAUGUAAAUAUUAUAGGAGUAUUUGUGUCUUAAUUCCUAAAUAUGGCUAGAGUUGUAUAAAAUACGAAAGAUAUAACCCUUAGUCGUUAAUUUUCAAGUGAAGAUUACGGCAGUUCCCAUAGACAUAGACAUAUCGAUGAACCAUGUAAAUCAGUGUGUUAUUCUCUCUAGCAUAUUUUCUUUUCGAUUGCUUCAUAUUUUGUGUCGAAAUUUGUCGUUGAUCUCAACCAUUAUAAUUUUAACUUGUAAGUCCAAAUUUCGUCCAUGACGACCGGUCAUGGCUGGUCCCAAGCCCGGAUAAAGGAGUAGUGUUGCAUUAAGUUGUCAGUCAACGUUAAAUCUAUGAUAAAUAUUCAAUGAAUGGAUUCAUUAAAUUAUUGUUCUAAUGCUAUGUUGUUCCUUAGAAGGAACAUGUUGUAGGAUUUGAUUGUAACAUCUCGACAAGGAUCACUACAUCUCUAGAACUCAGAUGUAGUGCUAAAUAUGCAAAAGUUCACGUUGCAUGGUCUGACUGUAACAUCUCGACAAGGACCGCUACAUCUCCAUGAGAACUUGAAUGUAGUGUUAAAUAAGCAAGAGUUCUCAUAUCAUAGGUUGGAUAAGAACAAAUAUAAUAGGAAAACUAAUAAUCUAAGAUUGAGAACAUGGAAUGUAGGAACCCUCACUGUAAAUAAAUGGAGGUAGUAGAUAUGAUGAUUAAGAGAAGAAUUAGUAUUUUAUGUGUACAAGAGAUAAAAUGGGUAGGCGAGAAGGCAAAGAUAAUAGAAAAUUUGAUUUUAAGUUAUGUUACACUGGAAAGAGUAAAGCAAGAAAUGGAGUGAGUAUUAUUAUAGAUAGUUCGUUAAAAGAUGAAGUUGUAGGAGUAGUUAGAAAAGAGGAUAAAAUUAUAGCCUUUAGAUAAUAGUGGUGAAAGAAAAUAUGAAUAUAAUUAGCGUAUAUGCAAUGCAAAUAUGAUUAGAUAAAGCUACAAAAUUAAGAUUUUGGGACGACUUAGAUGAAAUAUUAUAAAACAUUCUGUCAAAUAAAAUGAUUUUAAUUCUAGGUGAUCUAAAUGAGUAUGUCAGAGUGAAAAAUGAGGAAUAUUAGAGGCUACAUGGGAGUUGUGGAUUUGGAACGAGAAAUGAGGAAGGGAAAACAAUAUUCGAUUUUGCGAUAGCAUAUGAUCUUAUAUUAGUUAAUACGUUUUUUAAAAAAGAGAAAAAUACUUAGUCACGUUCAAAAGUAGGAAUAAUAAAUCACAAGUUGACUUUCUUAUAGUUAGGAAGAAGGAUAGAAAGAUUUGAAAAUAUUGUAAAAUCAUUCCUAUAGAAAGCUUAACUAUCGAACAUGUGUUAGUAAUGUUGGAUAUAUGCCUCAAAUAUAGUAUCAAUAGAAAGAAAAUAUAUACAACUCCUAGAAUUAAGUGGUGGAAGUUAAAGGAUAGAAAGCAAAAUAUAUUUAAGGAGAAGGUAGGAGUACAAACAUUAAGUGAAAUAUAUAGUAACUCUAAUACGACAUGAGAUAAGAUGAUAUCAAAGUUGAAAAUAAUAGUUAAGAGUGUACUCAGUGAGUUAAAUAGACAUGCACCACUAAGUAAGAAAUCUUUGAGGUGGAAUGAGAAAGCAUAAGAGAAAGGGAAGGAAAAAUGAAUAGCUUAUAAGGGAUUAUAUAUUUAUAAAA